AAGUGAGAGCUGAGCGUGUGAAGUCGACGCUGCGGUCGUGUUGUGGUCUCAUCUGACUUCUUUAAUGAAGCAGAGUAAAGAGGAAGCUUCAGCGCAACUUGCCGCCAGACUUUCUGUCUCUGAUUCAGAUUCCCAUCUUCUUGGGCCUCCGGAGGAAGAGACCCAUGACCUGAACUUGAACCACACUUCUAUGGAAUACCACCUGAUAGCCUUGUCAAGGUCACCGUGCGUCUGCACUUCGCUCUCGCUGUGGUUUCUCUCAGAUACAGAUCUAAUGUCUAAAGGAACCAGUUUCUGCAUGGUCACAGGCUGGUUUUGUCAUGUUGCCGUUGCAUUGUCACACUGAAUGUGUAAUAGCUUCUGUACUGAACAACAGAAAGCUGCAGAAGAUCGAACCAAAUAUGGACCUGAAGUGGCAGAUGAGCUGAAGAUACAGAGCUGUCAAUCAGAAUUUAAUGCACUUAAGCAGACCAACACUUAAUGUCCAGAUGAACUUGGCUUCCUCCACCUGAUCUCAACGUGUCUGUAGGUGAAAGUCCAGCAUCAAGAACACAACAGUUCUGAGACGAUAACUGUAAAUUAAAGUGGCUUCUGGUGGUCAUUUCUUUGUGAACCAGUCUGAGAGUCCCGCUUCUCUGUUGGUCGAGUGCAGCUUCAGACCUACAAUGGUGCCUCAGUGAGAAACAUAACAAAUGUCUGAUUAUGUUCAAAAUAAUUUUUUGGAUGAAAUUCUCUGGAAAUAUGUGGAAAAAAAUGAUUCAGUUUUGGGAGUGAUCUGCGUCUGGAUCUAGAAUUUUUUCAAAAGGUUUUUUAACACUGAGAACAUUUACAGCAUUUGUUCAUAUGGCUCCUCAAAGAAUGGUCGGGGCACGAGGAAAAAGAUCCAGUACAAGCUUCCAACAGGUUCCAUAUCCAUCAUAGGAAGAGAAGAAAUGAAGGUACAUGCAACACGCACUUAUAUACUACACCAGAAUCAGAACCAGUGCUGUUUCGUAACGUCAGAGCAGGGAUGUUUCACAAGGUUGCAGUCAGGUGUGUGAGCCCGAUAACAGCUGGAGAAACAGAUAAAUACGACCAGAUGACGGAGGAGCGCUCACUUCCAUAUCUGCAUCCGUCGAUCUUCCUCAGAGAAACAUCCCUGGGCCUCAUUCAGAAAAGAUGACUUUGAAGAUCUGCUUUGCCGCCUUCCUCCUGCUGCAUCUCCACCUCAUGGCUGCGUCCAAGAAGACCCUUCCUGCGUUCAAGACCAGACACAUCAAUUCUGACAUGAAGCCGGAUCAGUGCAGCGACGUGAUCCAGCAGAAGCACGUCAACAGCGGCGGGCCCAUAAGGAAGGUCAACACCUUCAUUCAGACCAAAGUGGAAAAAGUGAUAGCAGUUUGUGCUGGGCGCACCGGAAUCUUCGAGAGUGACACCAAUUUCCGUGUCGUGGUCUGCUGCCUGGUCGACGGAAAUACAGAGUCGCCCCUUAAAUACGUCGGCUAUCAUCGUUUCCAGACCAUCAGAGUAGAAUGCAACAAAGCCGGCCAUCCUGUGCACUAUGCACGCCAGGAUCCAUGCCCUCCCGCUCCUCCACCGAAGACUGACCGUUUUUGAAUUCGAAGAUCUUUUUUCUUGCUUCAUUUUCUGACUGUUUCAUUUGUCAUGAAAGGAAAACUGGAAUUUGAUGCCAGCAUUGUGCCAGCGAUGAAGAGCUUGCAUGA